GAGCCUGGGAGUCCGGGACACGCCGUGUGGACACCCUCGUGGACAUCUCAGUGGUAAGAGAGUGCUCUGGAAGUUCCUCCCCACCGACACCAUCCUCACCCAGAGGCUGACAGUCCAGGAAAGGUCACCACUUCUCAGUCCCCCGGCCUCCCACUCCAAUCUGGACUUCUCCCCUUACAGCUGGGUGUAGGGCUGUUGUUCCACGACUUCACUUUUGCCGUUUUUCUGCACUGGGUACCCAAAGGCCUCACAGCAGGGCUCCCGACUUCCCCACAAACACAGACACAUACUGUGGAGAAAGCCAGACUCCCGUCGGAUUCCACCGCCCACCUGCAGGACACCACAGAGUCCCCGAGGGGCAGACAUCUUUUCCGAAGCAGUCCUGCCACAUACAUGGCUCUCGGACCUACCCCCUCUCACCUUUUCUCCAUUUUUGUCUCCCUCCAUUUUUCCUCCCUCCCCCUUCUUUUCCUCUGGUGCUCCUUCCUUUAAAAUAGAAAAACAAACAAAAGCAGCCACCCUCUUGUUUAUCUGGAUGUGCUUCGUGUGCGCAGCUCAGGGACCUCCCCAGAAUGGUUUAUUAGGGCUUUUCUGUUCAGCUCCACUGCUGUACAGCAGAGGUAAUACAAUCAUGUCUCGGCUCCGUGU